rnacentral:rRNA from 1 species
ACUCCUACGGGAGGCAGCAGUGGGGAAUAUUGCACAAUGGGGGAAACCCUGAUGCAGCCAUGCCGCGUGUGUGAAGAAGGCCUUCGGGUUGUAAAGCACUUUCAGUAGGGAGGAAGGUAGUGUAGUUAACACCUGCAUUAUUUGACGUUACCUACAGAAGAAGCACCGGCUAACUCCGUGCCAGCAGCCGCGGUAAUACGGAGGGUGCGAGCGUUAAUCGGAAUUACUGGGCGUAAAGCGCAUGCAGGCGGCCUGUUAAGUCAGAUGUGAAAGCCCGGGGCUUAACCUCGGAAUUGCAUUUGAAACUGGCAGGCUAGAGUCUUGUAGAGGGGGGUAGAAUUUCAGGUGUAGCGGUGAAAUGCGUAGAGAUCUGAAGGAAUACCAGUGGCGAAGGCGGCCCCCUGGACAAAGACUGACGCUCAGAUGCGAAAGCGUGGGGAGCAAACAGGAUUAGAUACCCCGUGGUAGCACAGAG